ACUCAGCGCACGCGCAGGGGAGUUGCGUCAAGAGCGCGUGGCGCAUGCGCCGCCCAACGGCCCGCCCGCUUCCCGAAGGGACGGAGAGCGCGUGCACCAGUCGGUGUCGGAGAGCGCAUGCGAGACCUGCAUUUUGGCUUCUAUUCUACCCAGGAGAGCACACAAAACGACAACAGACGUCUCCCUUUGCCCGAAGAAAGGUGUUUGUGCCGAAAGCUUGCAAAGAACAAUUUUCCCCAACUAUUUCUAGUUGAAAUAGUUGGAAACUGUUGUCCAACUAAUAAAAGAUAUCACAUCUACCCAAAGAACCUUGUCUGAACCUAUCAGCACUUCACCAGGCUUUCAACAAUCAUGCUCCCUUUUUCAGGGGAAGAGCUGCAUGGGCUGCCACUCCUUUGGCAUUAAGGACAGGCUUACUUUUAUACUAGUAGCCACAGUGAAUCAUUUCAUCUUCCUGUGUCUUUUUCCAGGGAUUCCUGCCUCUCACAGUCCCUCAAAUUUAUCUACUUCUCCUCUCACAUACCUCCGUUGCCUUCAAUGGAAUCGCUGUCACUUUAUACCAGCUGUAGUCUCAUUUGGUUCCAGAGGUACCUUAACUGGGACUGUAAACUGAUGUUCUGCUGAGCUGAUACAUAUGCAGCUUUACCUGUUAAGGCAAACUUAAUAGGUUAGUAAGACAACUAGCAGGAAGUUAUUAGUGCAAUCAAGGAUGCAUUCCAGUUUCAUGAUUGCUUAAUCUGGGUUGGGCCAGGCCAGGGCCAGGGCGUCACUGUGCUGACUUUUGUGUUGCACGUGCUCAGUGUUUCCCAGUCUUCACACUAGAGGGCCAGGAAUCAAGAACAGCAUCAGCUUUGUCCUGCAGAAAAGCUGCCAGAGAAGCAAAACAAAAGAUCCAGACUUCAAGAAGCUGCAUACAUGGGCCUGAAACCAGAAUUAAGGGAAAUGGCACAGGCAGAGAGUUAAAUUCUGCCCAGAGAGUGACAGGUUAUAUUCAAAGGAAGGACUUGGUAAAAACAGACCUGUGGUAUCCCCAGUGCUUUGCCUAUUCACUUUAAACAGUACCAUGAGCCUCUUAAAGGCAAAAUGUUCUAUGUUGUGAUUCCCUUUGCAAUAAAAUACAAGCUUCUUCCUGUAACAGACUCCAUCUUUGAGUGACAGAAAAGUAUUAACCUGUACAGGAAGCCAGCUGUCGACCAUUUUAUAAGUGGCAAUGACCUUAAAAAAAAAAAAAGGCAUAGUAAGUGAGGCUAUGCUAAGAACUUUAAAGGCACAGUAAUUUUUAAUUAUGGCAUGCUGGAGCACUUAAACCUGGCUAGAGAAAAGAAAGCGCGAGACAAAAAGAGGAAACAAUAGAUUACUCACAAUACAAAAACAAUGCAAAGAACAGUGUCAUCCAACAUAAAGAAACUAAAAGGGACAUUUUGAAAGCACGCUGCUUAUUGCCCAGCUCUGACAUAGAAGAGCCGAUGUUUGGUCACAAAUGGCAGAGAGCAAGGCAGAAAGGAUACAGUACUUUGCAAACUGCCUGACAGCACCAAAUGGUAGAUGAUAUAUAUAUAUGGUAAAAUUGCUUCAUUAUGUGAUGUACCAGGCAUACAGAAUCCUUGCUGGGUGGUGCACAGCAGUGUCAGAGAGCAGUCGUGUCUGACCCAGUAGAAUACCUGAUACAUCGAGCAGCUGUUUCAGUGAGCCCCAAACCUUUUUAGCUGCAUUAACAAUUUCAAAGCAUUCCCAAAGUGCCCACUACUACUGGUGGGCUACUUAGACCUAGGUACAGAUUCCAUUUCAAAUGUGAAUGUGGUCCCAGAGCUUGAAUUCAUCAGAGAACCGAGGAUCGCUCAGACUAUAAUCAGUCACAUAACUUAAGUGUCUGGUUAUUAUUACUGAAUAUUCAUAUUGCAGCAGCCCACAGUCCAACCAGGCAGCAGCCCUGCUGUGCUAGGUGGCAUACAGAUAUAACGCAUACAGGCACACAGAGCUUACAGUACACACUGAUAAUAAGUACAAAUCCAAGGAGGUUGGAACAUGUGCGGACUUAGACCUCCCAUGGAUCCCUUCUCUCCGGAAGUGGCGUACUGCACUCACAGCUGCUAAUAUUAUUAAUGAUCUGUAUAGAAGCAUGGUCUUCAGACAUAAACAUUAUGAUAAAUGUCACUAUUGUAUUUACUCGAAUAUAAGACAAUUCUGAAUAUAAGAAAAAAGCUCAGGUACCUCUUCAUUAUUUACCAGCUACAUUCAUUCCCCUUCCCCCCCACCUGCCCCAACCUGUCUCAAUUUACAUCUUCGCUGACUGGCUUUCUUGCAUGCAUACCAGCCUCUGGCUUCUUUACUAUUCAUUCUAUCCAGGAAGGGCACACCAAUUGCACCCUGAUGAAUGGUAUUUAUACCCAAAAGCUUGCAAAGAAGAAUUUUUCCAACUAUUUGAGUCGGUCUAAUAAAAGAUAUCAGAUUAACCCAAAGAA